AGCAUCGGCCGGGAAUCGAACCCGCCCACGUGGCAAGCGAGCAUUGUACCACUGAACCACCGAUGC